GAACUACUGCACUAGCUGGCUUGUACUUCCUAUUUUUUUUCUUUUUUGACUGCUGAAUACUAGGUUACAUACUGAACCAUUCUGCUCUAGUUUUUGGAAAAAGUUUUGUUGGAACAUUUUUUUUCAGGUAAACAGGUUUCUUACAAAUAAGGAAAAUUUAUUACUUUGCUAGUAGAGAACAAUUUCCACCAGUGGAAAUUCUUCACAUGGUGUCUUUUCACGUCUUCUUAAAA
rnacentral:misc_RNA from 1 species